rnacentral:rRNA from 1 species
AAGGGUGAGACCUGCCCAAUGGUUAUAUCUUAAAAGGUUAGUAGGGCUAACUUAAUAAAGAUAAUUAAAUGGCCGCGGUAACACUAACCGUGAAAAUGUAGCGUAAUCAAUAGUCAAUUAAUUGUUGGCCGGUAUGAAUGGUGUCACGAGGGUCUCACUGUCUUAAGGAAAUCUCCAGUGAAAUUGAAUUUGUAGUGAAGAUGCUACAUCCAAAUUGUUAGACGAGAAGACCCCAUGGAACUUUACUGGAAACUUAUGUCGCUGACUUAAAUAGUUUUAAAAUGUGGUGCGGAUUAAUUAGGUUAAAAAGCUCACUUUUUUAUUUGAAGAAAGGCAACUCAAAAACUUAUGUCUUUGGGGCUUGAUAAGUGGGACAGUUUGGUUGGGGCGAUCGCCUUUAAAAAAGUAACGAAGGCGGGCUUAAGAUAUAUAUUUAGUUAUGUCUGACUGCCA